GACACUCAGUGCGCAUGCCUGAAAAAACAACACUGCAUGGUGAUGUGGAAUGUGCUACGAGUAGUACUAGUAGUAUUUUUGAUUAACACACGCUUUUAUUGGGGUUAAGUAUUUACUCUACUCAUAGUUUGGCUUCAGUUUAGCUACACUGAUCAUUUCCGUAAACUUCGUUCAUUUUAACGGCGCGUUUGUUGCAUCUAAUUUCAAAAUCCGAGCAAUUUGGUCAAUGAUACAAUUAUUUUUCUUACCGUUACCGAGUAUGGAAAGAAUGUUUUUGUUCACAAUUGUACCGGAUUAUAAGAACAUAGUUAGACACCGUUACAAAUAGUCUAUAUAAAAUAAUGAUGUAAUGGUCAAAGUCCAACCAAAGUCAUGAGUGGUUGUGGACGAGUGGCAAGAAAGAGGAAGAAAAAAGGUGGUGGCGUGGUCCAGUCAGUUUCCUUGAGCCACCGGCCCGAGUAUGUGGAGCUGCUCAGAUUUCUUCACCGGCGAGGAUUCAUGUCAAUGCUGCUGCAACCCGCGCUCUUCUCUGACACAGGCCGAGGUCUGCAGGCUGUGAGGAGCAUAAAGCCCAACCAACUGUUGAUUUCUCUGCCCGAGUCUUGUCUGCUGACAACCUCCAUCGUGCUGGACAGCUACCUUGGGCACUACAUCAAGAGCUGGAAGCCACGGCCCUCGCCUCUGUUGGCUCUGUGCGUUUUCCUGAUGUGUGAGCGGCACAGAGGAGCGGACGCCGAGUGGUCGCCGUACAUACACGUCCUUCCCGCCUCCUACACGUGUCCCGUCUAUUUCGCCAACGACGCCGUGGCGCUCCUGCCUGUCGGACUGCGCCGACAAGCUUUGGAGCAGAAGGACGUCGUACGGGAAAUGCACUUGUCCAAUUUGGAUUUUUUUAGGUCUUUGCAGCCGAUCCUCAGUCAGCCUGUGGAGAACGUUCUGACGUUUGAAGCUCUGAGGUGGGCAUGGUGCAGCGUCAACACUCGGUCGGUCUACAUGCGUCAGCCGUCACACCAGUUUUUAUGUGGCCAGGAUGACUACGCGCUGGCUCCCUUUUUGGAUUUGCUGAACCACCGGCCUGAUGUGCAGGUCAAAGCGGGUUUCAACCGCGAGAGAAAAACGUACGAGAUCAGGAGCGUAUGUGGCACACACCGAUUCCAGCAGGCCUUCAUCAACUAUGGUUCCCAUGACAACCAGCGCCUGCUGCUGGAGUAUGGCUUCGUUGCCCCCGACAACCCGCACAGCGUAGUCUAUGUGGACACAGAAAUGCUGUGCGAAGUAAUGGAAGGAGACCCAACAAGUCUGGAGCAGAAGAUGAAGUUCCUCACAGACAACAACUUCCUCAAGUUCGCCUUCUUUUCACUCAAAUCUCUACAGCACGUCCUCUUUCUCCUCCAAAUGACGACGAUAAUUAGCGUAGGCGCUAAUUGUUCGUCUUCACACACGUCUUCACAUAGUUCGUGUGUCCUCCUCAUCCAUCGUAGUGAUUUAAGUGUGAGCCGCGAAGGUCCCAGCUGGAGCCUGAUGACUGUCCUCAGGCUGAUGUCGCUGCCUCAAAAUCAAAAGUUUGAAUCUGUGUUGUUCCCUCAGUCACCAGUGGAAGGCGGUGAUGCGCGGCCAAGCAGUAGAUGAGGAGGUCGAGCGCCGGAGCGUCCGGGCUGCCGAGGAGUUGUGUCGGACACUCCUACGAGACACGCUUACUGCUCUGGAGAAGAUCUCCAGUCUUCUCCAACAGGGGGCGCCCUUGCUCCUGGAGCAGCUGCAGCUGGUCCAGUCUCUGCGGCUGGAGGAGAAACAAAUCCUGGAAAGAUGCCUUGUGUGAUUGAGAUGUGAGCCAAGCAGACACGGUUGGGUGUCCUCCAGGCUAACGGUGGUGGGUUCCACUCCAAAACAUACCUUCACGCAAGACGCUUGGGCUUUAUUGAACAUGUUUUUGUACAGCAUGGUGGACACUGUGUGCCCCGCAGAGAGAGACCAGCAAGAAAAAAAAAAAAUCUCACUGAAAUAGAGCCAAGUGUCGGGCAUGUUCAGCGGCAAGACUGUACUUGAUGUGGCCAACUAUUGACUGAUUGACAAGCUCAACACAACUGUGGCGACAAGCACGUUGCUACGUGAUUAGAAAGAGAAGGCUGUUGCUCCCGCUUCCAUUGGCCCCGUCACUUGGUCGACAGUCCCGCCACCUAACUCAAGCCGUCGUUACAUUUCAACCACAGCCUUUUUCUUGUUCUGAAGUUGCACGUCCUCCAUGGCGGCCGCCGCUUCCCGUAGAGGAACUGCCUCCUCGGGCUGAGGUCUAGAGGGACCACGCAUGGACACAGCAAUUAGCUCCCGUCAGGUCAUCGUCUCAGCCAUGUCCAUGAGACGUGAUCGUUCCAAGACAUCUUCACGCUGCGGCACUCGCGAUUAUUUGAAGAUGCCGAAGAUCAACAUAUGACAAAAUUA